rnacentral:rRNA from 1 species
CAAUAGCGUAUAUUAAAGUUGUUGCAGUUAAAAAGCUCGUAGUUGGAUUUGUGGCUGUCACGGGCGGCCUAUCACUUAGUGUUAGUGCUUGCCUGUGUCACCAUCCUUGGGUGGAGCCCGUGUGGCAUUAGGUUGUCGUGCGGGGGAUGCCCAUCGUUUACUGUGAGAAAAUUAGAGUGUUCAAAGCAGGCUUAUGCCAUUGAAUAUGUUAGCAUGGAAUAAUAAGAUAGGACCUCGGUACUAUUUUGUUGGUUUGCGCACCGAGGUAAUGAUUAAUAGGGACAGUUGGGGGUAUUCGUAUUUCAUUGUCAGAGGUGAAAUUCUUGGAUUUCUGAAAGACGAACUACUGCGAAAGCAUUUACCAAGGAUGUUUUCAUUAA